rnacentral:tRNA from 1 species
GCUUAAAUAGGCGGCUGUUACCGCACUCGAAAUGCGGUUGCCUUCCGGGGCACGUGGGUUCGAAUCCCACCUUCUCCGCCA